AGUGAACGCUGGCGGUAGGCCUAACACAUGCAAGUCGAACGGCAGCACAGGAGAGCUUGCUCUCUGGGUGGCGAGUGGCGGACGGGUGAGGAAUACAUCGGAAUCUACUCUGUCGUGGGGGAUAACGUAGGGAAACUUACGCUAAUACCGCAUACGACCUACGGGUGAAAGCAGGGGACCUUCGGGCCUUGCGCGAUUGAAUGAGCCGAUGUCGGAUUAGCUAGUUGGCGGGGUAAAGGCCCACCAAGGCGACGAUCCGUAGCUGGUCUGAGAGGAUGAUCAGCCACACUGGAACUGAGACACGGUCCAGACUCCUACGGGAGGCAGCAGUGGGGAAUAUUGGACAAUGGGCGCAAGCCUGAUCCAGCCAUACCGCGUGGGUGAGGAAGGCCUUCGGGUUGUAAAGCCCUUUUGUUGGGAAAGAAAUCCAGCUGGCUAAUACCCGGUUGGGAUGACGGUACCCAAAGAAUAAGCACCGGCUAACUUCGUGCCAGCCGCCGCGGUAA
rnacentral:rRNA from 1 species